rnacentral:lncRNA from 1 species
CUAUGGAGGAGUAUGGUGGCGGUAAGGAAGAGGAGGAGGGGUUACUAGGGUUAGGACCUCCUGUAGACUUCUUGGGUGUGAGGCUUCAUAGACAAGAGGGAGGUGUGGAGAAGGAAUAGGAGGCUUAGGGCUUAUGGAAGAUGAUCCCCCAAAAGGGGUGUGCAUAGCUAUGGAGGCUUUGAGGCAUAUUUAUAGAUCGGAAAGUAGGGCUCUAGGGUUUUGUGAUGCAUAAAAGGAUUGGGGUGUGAAGUCUUUGGCAUGAGAAUGGG